UGAGCUUAAGUCACUAGCACCUUCAUCUUAUGUACUGGGUGAAUCUCUUUUAAAACUGUUCUGUGCUAUGUACGGGUGAGUAGAGGGAGAGAGAGACAGCACACUCCCAACAGGAAGGCUACAGGGACAGUACUACCUAGGUGAAGUCUGAAGGAACUACUGACAGAAGGCAGAAGAUUACAGUCCUGCACGACAGAUACCUCACCCCUCACUUCCUCCAAUCACAACCUGGAAGUCCCACUCCUUCUGCCUCGGACUGAAUAUUAAGGAUGUCCACAAUUCAAGUCAACAUUCAUCUGUGCGUGAAGAAGAACACACCAGGAAUGCCCUCUAUUGCUGAAAGAAGACCUUUCGUUGUUUUUGAUGCCAGGUGUAGUCAUUUUUUGCUUAUUGAAAUAUUUUCAUAUUACUCAUUACAUGAGGAAUACCUCCCAGCCCUCUUUCU